rnacentral:rRNA from 1 species
AGUAGGUCCCAAGGGUAUGGCUGAGUAGGUCCCAAGGGUAUGGCUGUUCGCCAUUUAAAGUGGUACGCGAGCUGGGUUUAGAACGUCGUGAGACAGUUCGGUCCCUAUCUGCCGUGGGCGCUGGAGAAUUGAGGGGGGCUGCUCCUAGUACGAGAGGACCGGAGUGGACGCAUCACUGGUGUUCGGGUUGUCAUGCCAAUGGCACUGCCCGGUAGCUAAAUGCGGAAGAGAUAAGUGCUGAAAGCAUCUAAGCACGAAACUUGCCCCGAGAUGAGUUCUCCCUGAGACYUURAGUCUCCUGAAGGAACGUUAAAGACUAUGACGUUGAUAGGUCGGGUGUGUAAGCGCAGCGAUGCGUUGAGCUAACCGAUACUAAUGAACCGUGAGGCUUAACCUU